GUCUGAGACCCCGAAACUAGACGAGCUACUCCGAAGCAGUCUAAAAGGACUAACCCGUCUCUGUGGCAAAAGAGUGGGAAGACUUCCGAGUAGAGGUGAAAAGCCUACCGAGCCUAGUUAUAGCUGGUUGCUUAAGAAAAGAAUAUGAGUUCAGCCUUAUAAGUUUCUCAAAAAUCAAAAUGAAAGAAUAAAGUAACACAUAAGAGUUAGUCGAAGGGGGUACAGCUCCUUCGAAAAAGAACACAACCUUACCCAGGUAAAUAAGGAUUAUACUAAAAAAGGACAUGACUUUCAACAGUGGGCCCGAAAGCAGCCACCUCUAAUAGAAAGCGUUAAAGCUCAAGAACAGCCACACCAAAAAUAAAAAUAACCACUCCUAAUUUCCUAAUAAUAUUAAGCUACCCUAUUUUAUAGGAGAAAUUAUGCUAAAAUGAGUAAUAAGAGAAACUAGACCCUCUCCGGGCACACGUGUAAAUUAGAGCGGACAAACCACUGACAACUAACGGACCCAAAAAAGAGGGUAAAACAACAAAACUCAAUAAACAAGAAAAACCUAUUAAAACAACCGUUAACCCAACACAGGAGUGCCACUUAAGGAAAGACUAAAAGGGGAAGAAGGAACUCGGCAAACACAAACCUCGCCUGUUUACCAAAAACACCGCCUCCUGCAAAUAGAAUGUAUCGGAGGUCCUGCCUGCCCAGUGACAAUAGGUUCAACGGCCGCGGUAUUUUGACCGUGCAAAGGUAGCGUAAUCACCUGUCUUUUAAAUAAAGACCUGUAUGAAUGGCAAGACGAGGGUUUUACUGUCUCCUCCCCCCAGUCAAUGAAAUUGAUCUACCCGUGCAGAAGCGGGUAUAAAAACAUAAGACGAGAAGACCCUAUGGAGCUUUAGGCACACAUCAAAUAUGUAAAAAACCAAAUCUUCCAAAUAGGCCUAAAAAAUGAGAAAAACAAGUAUUAAUGAUUAAUUGCCUUCGGUUGGGGCGACCACGGGGAAAAAUAAAACCCCCACAUGGAAUGGAUAAAAUUAUCCUAAGCCAAGAAAAACAAUUCUAAGCAACAAAAUUUUUGACCAAUAAAUGACCCAGGGACAAUAUCCCUGAGCAAUGAACCAAGUUACCCUAGGGAUAACAGCGCAAUCCUUUCCCAGAGCCCAUAUCAACGAAAGGGUUUACGACCUCGAUGUUGGAUCAGGGCAUCCUAACGGUGCAGCCG
rnacentral:rRNA from 1 species